UGUAAAUUUAGGAUUUCGGAUUUGGAAAGUGCUUAUCUGAAUUCAUAUUGGAUUUUAUUUUAAUUUUUAUUUUUCAGGCCUUUCGUUUAUACCUUGAUGAAAUCUUUCACCCUGUUGUUGCCGUUUUUCUGUCUGUAACAUUUGUUCUAAUCUUCAGAGAGGUAUGUUGCCUACUCGUAAGCUCAUUGAAAUGCAAUGGGAUGUUGGGAUUGCGAUUGACUUGUGACUUGCCAUUCACAAGCUAUAUGCUCAAGAUAUGUAUGGGCUUUCUGUUGGCUUUGUUCGCAUUCUGAUGAUCAUCUGCUAUCCAAUCGCCUACCCAAUUGGAAAAGUUCUUGAUCUUGUACUUGGACAUGGAGAUGAUUUGUUCAGGCGAGCACAGUCGAAAGCCCUCGUCUCUAUUCACGACCCUGAGGUUGGAAAGGGAGUUGAACUAACACAUGAUAAGGCAAUGAUUAUCAAUGGAGUGCUAGAUUUAACUGUAAAGACUGUCGAGGAGGCUAUGACACCUAUUGAAUCAAGAAUGUGCUUGGAUGUUGAUUCAAAGUUAGACUGGGAAGCAAUUGGGAAAAUUCUUGCAUGUGUUAGAAUGUGUUGCUGAGCUUGUAGGAAAGGGUGCUUUAGCUGAAGGAGACAAGAUCACCUUAGAAACUGCAAAGCUGUUGAGAGAGAAUUCUCUCGCGCAGGAUGCAUUUACUCCGUCUAAAAAUUUGAGGAACCUGCUGAAGGCGAACAAGCUCUUGUGGCAAAAUUUAAGAGGCUACACGAUUACUUGACGAUUUGAGGAUGUAACUCGAUGAUUGGACUUAGACAUUUUCUAGAUGGUUCUAGUUGCUGUUAUAAAUUGCAUGGUGAUGACAGUUGGAGUUACUGUGGUUUUUGUUGUGCAUGAAAGAAGGCAGCGUUAGGUUUUUGUGACGCCAUUUUUGCUUUACUUUUGUGGCGGUUGCUCUAGUUUGGAUGUGUAGUUACAAUGAUUGUAUUCAUGUCACUCCCUUCAGGUUUUUACCCAGAAUAAGAGACUAGAUGUAUUUAAGCAA